rnacentral:rRNA from 1 species
GUCAAGCUUCCAAGAAAAGCCCUACACCCGUUAAGGCAUCAUGGCCUGUACCCGAAACCGACAAUGGUGGGGUGGUAGAGAAUACCGAGGGGCGCGAGGUAACUCUCUCUGAGGAACUCGGCAAAAUGGCCCCGUAACUUCGGGAGAAGGGGUGCCAGCGAGAGCUGGUCGCAGUGAAGAGGCCCAGGCGACUGUUUACCAAAAACACAGGUCUCCGCUAAGUCGCAAGACGAUGUAUGGGGGCUGACGCCUGCCCAGUGCCGGAAGGUUAAGGAAGCUGGUCAGCGCAAGCGAAGCUAGCGACUGAAGCCCCGGUGAACGGCGGCCGUAACUAUAACGGUCCUAAGGUAGCGAAAUUCCUUGUCGGGUAAGUUCCGACCCGCACGAAAGGCGUAACGAUCUGGGCGCUGUCUCGGAGAGAGGCUCGGCGAAAUAGAAUUGUCUGUGAAGAUGCGGACUACGUGCACCCGGACAGAAAGACCCUAUGAAGCUUUACUGUAGCUUGGUAUUGUGCUCGGGCUCGGAAUGCGCAGGAUAGGUGGGAGGCUUGGAUCCAUUGCUUGCGGGUGAUGGUGAGCCACUGGUGAGAUACCACUCUUUCCGAGCUAGAGUUCUAACCCUCGCCCGUUAUCCGGGGAGGGGACAGUAUCAGGUGGGCAGUUUGACUGGGGCGGUCGCCUCCUAAAAGGUAACGGAGGCGUGCAAAGGUUCCCUCAGGCUGGUUGGAAAUCAGCCGACGAGUGCAAAGGCAGAAGGGAGCUUGACUGUGAGACCUACAAGUCGAACAGGGACGAAAGUCGGCCUUAGUGAUCCGACGGUUCUGCGUGGAAGGGCCGUCGCUCAACGGAUAAAAGUUACUCUAGGAUAACAGGCUGAUCUCCCCCAAGAGUUCACAUCGACGGGGAGGUUUGGCACCUCGAUGUCGGCUCAUCGCAACCUGGGGCUGAAGUCGGUCCCGAGGGUUGGGCUGUUCGCCCAUUAAAGCGGUACGCGAGCUGGGUUCAGAACGUCGUGAGACAGUUCGGUCCAUAUCCGGUGCACGCGCAGGAAUAUUGAGAGGAUUUCUCCCUAGUACGGGAGGACCGGGAGGAACGCACCUCUGGUGUGCCAGUUAUCGUGCCAACGGUAAACGCUGGGUAGCCAUGUGCGGAGAGGAUAACCGCUGAAAGCAUCUAAGUGGGAAGCCCACCUCAAGAUGAGUAUUCCCAUGGCAAAAGCCAGUAAGGUCACGGGAAGAUUACCCGUUGAUAGGCUCUACGUGGAAGCGCAGCAAUGCGUGAAGCGGAGGAGUACUAAUAGACCGAGGGCUUGACC